CAGCUGCAUGAUAAAAGACAGGAGGCUUUUCACAGCCAGCAGCAGGCUGAAGUCACCCAGCACCUGCUCUGACUUCCAGGUCGACAAUUCUCAACAUCCAGCUUGUUUGGCAUGCUCGGUAAAAUAUGAAGCUGAAUAUCAAUGAGAUUCAUCCAACAUCCAGACUGUCCACCCUCAAGUGAACAAAUAGAUCUUGCACCCGAAAAUCCAUCCAUCCCACAUCUUAGGCAGAUCAGCCAGCAAAGACAGAAAUGGUGCGGGGGAAGAAUCCACUACUGCUUAUGGACCUUGGACGUCUGUGCAAGAGAAAGAAAAAUUACAAGGAACAUUGGAUACCCCUAGGUUUCAUAAUUCUCAUGCAAUUUUGCCUGGCAUCCUACAUUUAACCAUCAAUAUUGCCCUGAUUCUGAAUGUCUUCAUCAAUCACCCUAUGCCUGCUUGCCUACUUUGACUUCAAGUUCCAUGUCUUUGUUUUCAAUUCCUGUCAUGCU